AGCGGAGGAAAAGAAACCAACAGGGAUUCCCCUAGUAACGGCGAGUGAAGCGGGAAAAGCUCAAAUUUGAAAUCGAGUCUCGGCAGCGAGGUCUCGACGUGUAGUUUGAUGAGACGUGCCCGGCUGCCGCGCGGGUCAAAGUCCUUUGGAAGAGGGCGCCACAGAGGGUGAUAGUCCCGUCCGUGGCCUGUGUUGGCAAAGGCAGCCGUACUGUGGGUCGUCUUCGCAGAGUCGAGUUGUUUGGGAAUGCAGCUCAAAGUGGGUGGUAAACGCCAUCAAAGGCUAAAUACAGGCGAGAGACCGAUAGCGAACAAGUACCGUGAGGGAAAGUUGAAAAGCACUCUGAAGAGAGAGUCAAACAGCGCGUGAAAUUGCCAACAGGGAAACGAUGGGCGCCAGUGUUGGGGGCGAUGGGUUCAGGCGGCGGCAGCAAUGCCAAAGCUGUACUCCUGUCGCUCCCGGUCAACAUCAGUGCGGCUGCGGUCAGAACGGCUUGGGGGAGGUAUGUCGCUUGCGACAACUUAUAAUCCCGAGUGCGGCGGCCGCGGCUGCACUGAGGCAUCGCGAUCCUUCUCGGGGCAUUGCGGUGAGAUGUGA
rnacentral:rRNA from 1 species